rnacentral:rRNA from 1 species
AGAGUUUGAUCAUGGCUCAGAUUGAACGCUGGCGGCAGGCUUAACACAUGCAAGUCGAGCGGUAACAGAGAGGUGCUUGCACCUUUGCUGACGAGCGGCGGACGGGUGAGUAACGCGUAGGAAUCUACCUGGUAGUGGGGGAUAGCCCAGAGAAAUUUGGAUUAAUACCGCAUACGCCCUACGGGGGAAAGGAGGGGAUCUUCGGACCUUUCGCUAUCAGAUGAGCCUGCGUGAGAUUAGCUUGUUGGUGAGGUAAAGGCUCACCAAGGCGACGAUCUCUAGCUGGUCUGAGAGGAUGAUCAGCCACACUGGGACUGAGACACGGCCCAGACUCCUACGGGAGGCAGCAGUGGGGAAUAUUGCACAAUGGGGGAAACCCUGAUGCAGCCAUGCCGCGUGUGUGAAGAAGGCCUUCGGGUUGUAAAGCACUUUCAGUUGUGAGGAAAGGUUGACGAUUAAUACUCGUUAACUGUGACGUUAGCAACAGAAGAAGGACCGGCUAACUCCGUGCCAGCAGCCGCGGUAAUACGGAGGGUCCGAGCGUUAAUCGGAAUUACUGGGCGUAAAGCGCGCGUAGGCGGCUUGGUCAGUCAGAUGUGAAAGCCCCGGGCUCAACCUGGGAAUUGCACCUGAUACUGCCAAGCUAGAGUACAGAAGAGGGUGGUGGAAUUUCCUGUGUAGCGGUGAAAUGCGUAGAUAUAGGAAGGAACAUCAGUGGCGAAGGCGGCCACCUGGGUCUGAUACUGACGCUGAGGUGCGAAAGCGUGGGGAGCAAACAGGAUUAGAUACCCUGAUAGUCCACGCCGUAAACGAUGUCAACUAGCCGUUGGGGAACUUGAUUCUUUAGUGGCGCAGCUAACGCGAUAAGUUGACCGCCUGGGGAGUACGGUCGCAAGAUUAAAACUCAAAUGAAUUUGACGGGGGCCCGCACAAGCGGUGAGCAUGUGGUUUAAUUCGAAGCAACGCGAAGAA